rnacentral:lncRNA from 1 species
GCGGCGGGAACAGCGUGUUCCCCACCAGCGCCUGCGGGACGAGCAGCAGCUGCAGCGGCACGUCCCGGCUGAAUACCAUCAUGUUCUCGUUCGUCGGCAUGAACCCGCAGCUGGAGAACGUGGACACCGUCGUGAACACAGCGAAGGUCCACACGUUCAGGGCCUUGCGCCGCAGGGUCUGCCGCGCGCCGGGCGCCGCGUGCAUGUACACCGCCACGGCGACGGCGCCCACGACGUGCACCACGAGGAGGAUGGCCAGGACGAUGUAGAACAUGGAGCGCACCGCGUUGAGCCGCAGCAUCUUCGAGUCCACCACCGGGCCGGUGUGAUCUUCGGUGACGGUGGUGAUCGUCAUCGACGACCUCUCGUCAUCGGCGUCGGCAGCGGCCUCGGCCUCGGCGGCGAUGGCUGCCGGCGUCUCGAGCUCGACGCCGUCGUCGUGGCUCUCGACGCGCUGGGACCUGUUUAUGAUCCGCUUCCUCAGCUUGGACCAUUUGGACGAGAGCCCCACGAGCGAUAUGAACACCUCGCCGCCGGCGAACAUGAGCGCGGUGAUGAUCAGGAGCUGGCCGUUGGAGAACACCUCCAUCUCGACGGCGGACAUGCUCGACACCGUCGCGGCCGACACGGCGGUGAAGAACAUGUCGAUGCCGCGGGGGCUCCCGUGGGGCGCCCGCACCUUGAGCGCCGAGAGGAGGCCCCAUCCGGCGCAGGAGAGGGCGACGAAGUAGACGACAUGGAUGAGGAGCGAGUUGAGGCGCGCCGCGACGUCGACGGCGGCGCGCCACACCUGGCCGCCGAGCGUGCGCCGCGACCGCGCCACGCGCUCCGUCACCUGGUGCUCCGCGUAGGCCUGGGAGAGCGAGCACACCAGGGACAUUGCUCGGUCGAGCGCGGCCGCCGAGCACUGGCGCAGGUGGUGCAAGAGCUCGCCAAGCUUGUGUGCUCCGGCCAUUGUGGGACGUGCGAGCUAUAUGUCUGCAUGCGAGUUCUGUGUACCUGAGAGCUUGUAGGCACCUGUAUAUAUAUAACUAGGGAGAUGGUGAGUGUUCCUGCAUCCUGCUAUGUUAGUCCAACACGUGGAAAGUAAACCCUUGGGCCUCAAUUGUUUCAGUUUCUUUAUGCCAAGAAGACCAAGCUACAUGUAGACACUAGCAGUAGUGACGUUUGUUCAAUUUGCCUGUCUGGUGAAAAUAAAUUCAGAAUUAGAACUGCAGAAUAUAUAGGACUCAAAGUGUAAAAUACAAUCCCACUUGUUUCAUGUACUAGUUUCCUCUCAGGAAACAACGCAGUACGACGUACCUCCGGUACGUACUCUCUGCAAAUAUUUGGUAUAUUUGUUGCGUUGAAAGAAGUGUCACGAGAAGUGAAAAUUCAACGUAUACCGAGAAUUUAGCUUCAAAUAAAAUUUCUUCUUGAAUUCACCCGUGUGAUGUCAACGGAAUUGAACCCAUGCUUUGUUCAGAAUGUCUAUGAGAUUUUUUUUAUGAUCUCUUGGUUUCCUCAAAGAGUUCGGGAUAUAAACUGCGCUUUGAUGAACCACGAUAAUAAGGGAGUAUCCAGUAGAAGCUGUACAUAUAUGCAUAGCUAAAGCUCGCUUGAAGUUGUACAGUAGAAGUAUGUACUUCUUGUAAUGCUGGUUGUCGAGGAACUUAUAUGUGUUUUUCAAGAUCCGAUUUGGUCUAUCUCUUAGAGUUGACUCGUUUACAACAUCGGAGUCUGUGAAAUCUUUUUCUCCGACAAAUUUGCAUGAUACAAAAUUGAAUAGGAGUUAGACAUCGUACAAUGAUUAAAGCGGAAAUUUUGAAGUUAAAGCAAAUUAAAAACUCGCAGAACCUAGGAACCCAUAAACCGAGGAACCCAUGAACCGAUACUAAUUGAAGUUAGGAACCCAGGAACCCGGCGUAUAAACGUGCUUCUCGAUCGGGAUUAGAUCUUAUUCGCGGCAAGAGGAAGAGGAGCCCCCAUGUGGCUCUGGAUUAUCCAUAGAUCCGCGCACCGUACCGUUCCUUCUUUCGAUUAUUCUAUACAUCUCUCUGGAGAUAUGCACGUGUGUGCAGACUUUUUGCUCGAGAAAUAAUUGAAGAAUAUAUGUACAAGAGUGAUUUGUGCACACGGCCAUGUUGUCCUGCCAAUACUACUGUUCAACGAUACCGCUAUUCCCAGCCAUUAAUUUUAGCCACGAAUUAGAUCGAUGUCAUGUAAGAAAGCAUUUUUUCCCAACCGAGAAACACUAGUUCGCCUUUCAGGUCUAGUUAUACUCUCUCCACAAAUAUAGAUCGUUUUGGAUGUUUGGAUACCUCGUGCUAAAGUUUAGCACCUGUCACAUCGAAUGUUUGGAUGCUAAUUAGGAGUAUUAAACAUAGGCUAAUUACAAAACUAAUUGCACAGAUGGAAUCUAAUUCGCGAGACAAAUCUAUUAAGCCUAAUUAGUCCAUGAUUUGACAAUGUCGUGCUACAGUAACCAAUUGCUAAUGAUGAAUUAAUUAGAUUUAAUAGAUUCAUCUCGUGAAUUAGCACAGGGGUUCUGCAAUUAGUUUUAUAAUUAGCUCAUGUUUAGUCUUCCUAAUUAGUAUCCGAACAUCCGAUGUGACACUGCUAAAGUUUAACCCCUAGUAUCCACCCGCACGCCCAUAUUUUCCUGUUCGAUAUCACUGUACCCAGCCAUUUCAGCCACACGAGAAGGCUUUUUUUUUUCCCAACCGAGACACACUGGUCUUUCAAGUAUAUGUAAACUCUCCCCACAAAUAUAGAUCAUUUAAGUUUCAGCCAAACUUCUCUAACUCUAAGUUUAUAGAAGAAUAUAUUAACAUUAUAAUACCAAAUAAAUACACUGUCAAGUAUCAAGACAUAUUUCAUGGUAAAUAAUAAAACCUAUUUCAUAUUAUGGGAUUCUUCCAAUUUUUUAUAACUAGGUAGUAAAGUCCCAUUAAAGAAGAAAACGGUGAGGUUUACUACUUCAUUUGCUUAUGUUUAGAUAUCAUAUUAUAUUUUCUAAAUCGAUCAUGCUAUUUUAUUAACAAAAUACAAAGUAAAAACGAAUUACCAAGUGAUUUUAAUACAAAUCUAAUAAGAGUAUUUAUCUUAUGCCACACGUAUAUAUGUCUGGAGAUAAAUACGUUUGUGUCAUGACUUUUGCUCGAGAAAUUAAAGAAUAUAUGUACAAUGAUUUGUGUGCACGGCCAUGUUGUCCUGUCAUGUGCAAUGACUUUUGCUCGAGAAAUUAAAGAAUAUAUGUACAACGAUUUGUGUGCACGGCCAUGUUGUCCUGUCAAUACCGUUCAAUAUCACUGUUCCCAGCCAUUUCCGCCACACGAAUUAGAUUGGUGUCACCUAGUAGUAUUAGUCUUAUGUCACCUAGCUACCAUAUUAUUGGACAUUAACCAUUGAUCAAAGCGUGAACUUGAACGGUUAAAAUACGUCAUAUAAAGAUCAACGUAGGGAGUAGCAAGAAGGUCGAGAGGUGGGGCAGAGCUUCUUGAUGGCCAAAUCAAGGAGGGGGCAUGGCCCCUCUGCUUUUACAAAAUGCUAAAGCAAAAGCUAAAGUGAUCUACAUUUGAGAAUACAUGCAUUAUGUACGUAAUUAACUAGUAAUCAUUGUGUUGAAUAUAUUGUUAACGGCAAGCAUGUGAGCUCAUCUUUUUGAAAUAUUAAAAUGAGUGAAAUUUUCAUAAAAUUUAAAAGUUUUUGUUUGAAUUGUGUGCUCAUUUGAAAAUGGAAGACAAAUUAUACUCUCGUCUAAAAUUCCCUAAUAAAUUAGAUAUCAAAUUAAUUUUUAAAACAUGUGUGCUAGUUGAUUUGGCUCUUUUUGGAUUUUAUUUGACUCUCAAAUAUGUGUGUUUUUGAAUUUUUAAUCUAAUUCAAAAUUCAAACUAAAAACGAAUCCAAACCUAAAGCUAACCUGACAUCUAACCCCAGUCUGGCCCGAUGCCAAACCGGUCUGGCCCGCCAACCACCCGCCAAGCCUCACCACCUGGGCCAGCAGGCCGGCUCGCUACGGCGGCCCAACCCGCCCGCUAGGCCGCCAACACCACCGCACCCUCUUUCUUUCCCUUGCUGACGCGCUGGGCCCGCUCGUCAGCCAACAAUGCUCCCCUUUCUUCCUCCUCAUGCCGUACGCCUCACGCGCGGCGCGUGCGGGGGCGACGAGGCGAGCUUGCCGUGCUAGCCCACAAUACACGGCCGUGCGCCCCCCCCCCCCCACACCUUACGGAGUCUUCCGUCAUGGGAAAACCCCGCUUUUUCCCUCGCCUCGCGCCUCCAAACCCUAACGCUGAGCCGCUAGAUGGCCACCACGCCAUGCCCUAGCGCACCCGUCGAGGAUCAACGGCGCGUAGCUCUUGGCACGCUACCCCGCUGCCCUAGCCCGGCCGCGGGCUAUAAAUAGCCCCAGCCAGCAACCUCGCCACCGAUCCAUCCGAGGUCCUCCCCUAGCCGCCGCCACCAACCGGGAAGAAGAGAGGGGAAGAGGAGGAGAGGAGGUGAGAAUAAGAGAAGAGGAGGAAAAGGAGGCCGUGCCCGAGGAGAAGCCAGCCGCCGCGCUCGGAGGAGGAGUUGCUGCCACCAGAGCUGCUCAUCGCCAACGCGCCCAAGGAGGAGCUGGAAGCCAUUGCCACUACACUGCGAGCCUUCACCAACCCGCAGCUGGAGAACGUGGACACCGUCGUGAACACAGCGAAGGUCCACACGUUCAGGGCCUUGCGCCGCAGGGUCUGCCGCGCGCCGGGCGCCGCGUGCAUGUACACCGCCACGGCGACGGCGCCCACGACGUGCACCACGAGGAGGAUGGCCAGGACGAUGUAGAACAUGGAGCGCACCGCGU